rnacentral:snRNA from 1 species
AUACUUACCUGGCAGGGGAGACACCAUGAUCACGAAGGUGGUUUUCCCAGGGCGAGGCUCAUCCAUUGCACUCUGGAUGUGCUGACCCCUGCGAUUCCUCCAAAUGUGGGAAACUCUACUGNNNNN